CAAGCAGGCGAGGGUAGGCUUGAUCCUCUUGCAAUGCCACCGAGCUCGAUGGCUGUCCCCUUGAUUUGGUGCUGUGCCACUGAGAGCAGAGUCAGGCGGGCGUCAUCAUGAUGCAAACCUGGUGCUAUUAAUUUGGCAUAGAGUGCCUGCGAGUGUCUUCUUUUCUUGAUCACCAAGCAAUUAGUUUAUGCACAGGAAGCCCAAGGUUUAUGUACUGUCUGCUGUGACUUCUCAUUUCACAGGGGGGCUCUAAAGUAUUCUAUCUCGUUCCUCAACUCUUCCUCUAUGUCUGCAUCUUGGAGGGCAAGGUGUGCAUGUGUUGGUGCUUGAGUGUCAAUCCACGAGCAAAAGUAACGGAGCAAGGGCCAACCGGAAAGUGCAUUGCAGGAGAGGAUUGAACUGAGUGUAGGAGAAGUGCGGGGUAAGCCCUGAGAAAACCAGACACGUAUUUGAUCUCCGUCUCCAUCUGACAGCACUUCUGUAAAUCUAUUGAGAUAUUCAGGGCAGGGUUGUGUGGAGGGAUGAGAUCAGACUCUCUGAGCGCAUCCAGCACGUCCCAGGAGGCAGCCCACGUCAGACUGUGCCCUGAUCAUCUUUGAUCGAGCUUUGAGCUCUAAAUCCUGCUUCCCUUACAUCGGCGCAAGUAUCUUGAACUUGGCAAGAUGUGGUCUUUUUAAUUUAGGAAGGCUGUUUUAAAAGUGCCCGAAAUGCUAGAAAAGAGCUCCUUAAGAAGACCAAAUUCUGGUCCCCAUUUCACUGUAUGAACCCUGUAUGAAUUUUUUAAUGGAACAGCCUGUUGUUUUUUUUUUUUGCCAUCAGCAAGACCAGACGUUGGCCUGGCCCCACCUGCCCUGAUUAACUCCCAAAGCCCUUUAUUUGUUGACGCCAGUGACGUUAGGGCAGCAAUGUUUCCAUUCUCCAGACCUUGUGGUGCCUUUUCUUGUGGUGCUUACCCUUUGCAGGACUCCAGUCAAGGCAACCACUCGCAUCAAACAGCAACGCCAGUACUUCUCCUCUAGAUUAUGUGCCACUGCA
ensembl:lncRNA